GCCGAUCGGGGCUCAAGGGCACCUUGGCUCUGGGAGUGCACUUCCCAGUGUGCUUGACUGCCAACCUCCUCUUGCCCUGGGGCCAGGGAAGCUACACCCCACCCCACCCCCCACCCCCGCACCUUCAAGAAACAAUAGCCCCUACGAGCUCCAGACUGUGCCCUGAAGCGGGAGAACUGGGUACUGGGGAUCGAACUCAGGACCUUGCACUUGCGAGGCAGGCACAGCACCACUGAGCUAAAUCUCCGGCCCAGCCCCAUUUAUUUGUGAGACAGGGUCUUACUCAGUUGCCAAGGUGGCUGGGCUUCAGCUUGCAAUCCUCCUGCCUCAGCCUACCAGAGUAUGGGUACAGGAGAUCUUCUUUUAUCCAACCUGUUUUUCAGGUGUGGUGGUAGGGACUGAAAUUGUCUUGCUUUGUAGCCCAGACUGGCCUCAAACUUGUAAUCCUCUUGCCUCAACCUCCAAGUGCUGGGAUCACAGGUACGUG
rnacentral:lncRNA from 1 species